rnacentral:lncRNA from 1 species
CACUGGGUCGAUGCCACUGCUGGUGGAGAUUUAUUUCCCCGAGGGUAUCACCAGCCCAGUAGUCAGCACUUUUUGUGCAGAAAUGAAUUAUCAUUGAUAUGGUUAUAUUAACAAAUUAGCUGUUUACAAAAUUUAGAAUUUUUGAAAUGCUAAGGCUUUUCUACCUCAGGCAUAGAUUACCUUAGCUGGAUUUGGCAAAACUUUUAGGAUUGAUUGAUUGUUGGUUGCUUUACGCCGCAUUAGCACAAAAAGGCUAUAUCACGGCGAGAGCUAAUUCGAAUAUUUUUACAAUUUAAAGCAUAUUUUUAAAAUAAGACAAAAAGUCCUUCAAUAUACUAAAAUUCUUGACU